GAUGAACGCUGGCGGCGUGCCUAACACAUGCAAGUCGAACGGAAGGGCCUCAUUCGGGGGGUACUCGUGUGGCGAACGGGCGAGUAAGACGUGAGUAACUAGCCCUCGACUUUGGGAUAACUUCAGGCAACUGGGGCUAAUACCGGAUAGGAGCUCCUGCUGACUGGUGGGGGCUGGAAAGUUUCGGCGGUUGGGGGUGGGCUCGCGGCGUAUCCGCUUUGUGGUGGGGAAGUGGCUAACCAAGGGCUUGCCGUGUAACCGGCCCGUGGAGGUGAGCGGCGGCCCUGGGACUGAGGUGCGGCCCAGGCUCCUACGGUUGGCAGCAGUGCGGAAGCUUGCACAAUGGGUGCAGGGCUGAUGCAGCAGGGCCGUGUGCGGGAUGACGGCCUUCGGGUUGUAGAACGCUUUCGCUCAUAACGAAGCUUUGUGUGACGGUAGUGGGUCAAGAAGCACCGGCUAACUACGUG
rnacentral:rRNA from 1 species